rnacentral:tRNA from 1 species
GUAUUGGUGGUUCAGUGGCAGGAUUCUCACCUUCCAUGUGGAAGACCUGGGUUUAAUUCCUUACCAAUGCA